UGGUGGAGUGAUUUGUCUGGUUAAUUCCGUUAACGAACGAGACCUUAGCCUACUAACUAGUACGUUCAACCUAGUUGUUCGGUACUUCUUAGAGGGACUUUGUGCUUUAACACAAGGAAGUUUGAGGCAAUAACA
rnacentral:rRNA from 1 species